UACGGAAGGCAGCAGUGGGGAAUAUUGCACAAUGGGCGAAAGCCUGAUGCAGCUAUGCCGCGUGUAUGAAGAAGGCCUUAGGGUUGUAAAGUACUUUCAUCGGGGAGGAAAAAACAAAACUAAUAAUUUUAUUUCUUGACGUUACCCGAAAAAGAAGCACCGGCUAACUCCGUGCCAGCAGCCGCGGUAAUACGGAGGGUGCUAGCGUUAAUCAGAAUUACUAGGCGUAAAGAGCACGUAGGUGGUUUUUUUAAGUCAGAUGUGAAAUCCCUGGGCUUAACCUGGAACUGCAUUUUGAAACUGAAAUACUAGAGUAUCGUAGAGGGAGGUAGAAUUCUAGGUGUAGCGGUGAAAUGCGUAGAUAUCUGGAGGAAUACCUGUGGCGAAAGCGGCCUCCUAAACGAAUACUGACACUGAGGUGCGAAAGCGUGGGGAGCAAACAGGGAUUAGAUACC
rnacentral:rRNA from 1 species